AAUUUUUGACAAUGGGGGAAACAUUGCUCCAGCCAUCCCGCGUGUGUGAUGAAGGCCUUCGGGUUGUACAUCACUUUCGACAUGGAAUAAACAUCACCGAUUAAUAUCCGGUGCCAAUGACGUAACUUGUAGAAAAAGCCCUGGCUAACUACUCGCAAGCAGUCGCGGUAAUACGUAGGGUGCAAGCGUUAAUCGGAAUUACUGGGCGUAAAGGGUACGCAGGCGGCUAGGAAAGAAGGAUGUGAAAUCCCAGGGCUCAACCUUGGAACUGCAUUCUUAACUGCCUAGCUAGAGUAUGUCAGAGGGGGGUAGAAAUCCACGUGUAGCAGUGAAAUGCGUAGAUAUGUGGAGGAAUACCGAUGGCGAAGGCAGCCCCCUGGGAUAAUACUGACGCUCAGGUACGAAAGCGUGGGGAGCAA
rnacentral:rRNA from 1 species